rnacentral:rRNA from 1 species
AACGAACGCUGGCGGCAGGCCUAACACAUGCAAGUCGAACGCACCGCAAGGUGAGUGGCGCACGGGUGAGUAACACGUGGGAAUGUACCCUUUGGUUCGGAAUAACGUUUGGAAACGAACGCUAAUACCGGAUGAGCCCUGCGGGGGAAAGAUUUAUCGCCAAAGGAGCAGCCCGCGUCUGAUUAGCUAGUUGGUGGGGUAAAGGCCUACCAAGGCGACGAUCAGUAGCUGGUCUGAGAGGAUGAUCAGCCACACUGGGACUGAGACACGGCCCAGACUCCUACGGGAGGCAGCAGUGGGGAAUUUUGGACAAUGGGCGCAAGCCUGAUCCAGCCAUGCCGCGUGUGGGAAGAAGGCCU